UACGUAGGGGGCAAGCGUUGUCCGGAUUUAUUGGGCGUAAAGAGCGUGUAGGCGGUUAGGUAGGUCCGUUGUGAAAACUCGAGGCUCAACCUCGAGACGCCGGUGGAAACCAUCAGACUAGAGUCCGGAAGAGGAGAGUGGAAUUCCUGGUGUAGCGGUGAAAUGCGCAGAUAUCAGGAAGAACACCCGUGGCUAAGGCGGCUCUCUAGUACGGUACUGACGCUGAGGUGCGAAAGCGUGGGGAGCAAACAGG
rnacentral:rRNA from 1 species